GACGAACGCUGGCGGCGUGCCUAAUACAUGCAAGUAGAACGCACAGUUUAUACCGUAGCUUGCUACACCAUAGACUGUGAGUUGCGAACGGGUGAGUAACGCGUAGGUAACCUGCCUGGUAGCGGGGGAUAACUAUUGGAAACGAUAGCUAAUACCGCAUAAUAUUGAUUAUUGCAUGAUAAUUAAUUGAAAGGUGCAAUUGCACCACUACCAGAUGGACCUGCGUUGUAUUAGCUAGUAGGUGAGGUAACGGCUCACCUAGGCGACGAUACAUAGCCGACCUGAGAGGGUGAUCGGCCACACUGGGACUGAGACACGGCCCAGACUCCUACGGGAGGCAGCAGUAGGGAAUCUUCGGCAAUAGACGAAAGUCUGACCGAGCAACGCCGCGUGAGUGAAGAAGGUUUUCGGAUCGUAAAGCUCUGUUGUAAGAGAAGAACGGGUGUGAGAGUGGAAAAUUCACACUGUGACGGUAUCUUACCAGAAAGGGACGGCUAACUACGUG
rnacentral:rRNA from 1 species